UUUAAUCCCUUUUAUUCCUUAAUGAAGGAAGGUUUGACGUGCUUGGAAGCUCAAAUUGAUAUUCCGACGGACCUACGACGCGCUAAUUAAGAAACGCUUCGUUCUAGCUUUAUUUGCAUCCAGUCGUGAGGGCUAGUUGCUUAUACAUUCCGAGACGUGGGUUUUAGCAUUUCGGCAUCCCUACAGGUUCUAGCUCGUGCGGGGUGAUCGAGGAUCGUGGUAUGGACAGCGUUCUAUAGAUAGUGGACAUCCAUUGAGUAUAGUUGUACCUUAUUUAUUUCAUCUGUUUAUAGUUGAUGAAAGCAAAUGUAAAUUAUUCAUUUGAGAGAUGGCAAUGUAUAUAUUGGAAGAAUGAAUGUAAUAAUUAUGUAAGCUUUGUAUUUGAUUUAAAAUAAUCAAGAUACAGUAUAUGAAUGCUUUAGUUAGUUUA